rnacentral:rRNA from 1 species
UGCCAGCCGCCGCGGUAAUACGGAGGGUGCGAGCGUUGUUCGGAAUUAUUGGGCGUAAAGAGCAUGUAGGCGGUCUGUUAAGUCUGGUGUGAAAGCCCGGGGCUCAACCCCGGAAAUGCAUUCGAUACUGCCGAGCUAGAGUCCCGGAGAGGAUGGCGGAAUUCCCGGUGUAGAGGUGAAAUUCGUAGAUAUCGGGAGGAACACCAGUGGCGAAGGCGGCUAACUGGCUCGGUACUGACGCUGAGAUGCGAAAGCGUGGGGAGCAAACAGGAUUAGAUA